UACGGGGGGGGGCAAGCGUUGUUCGGAAUUACUGGGCGUAAAGGGCCAGUAGGCGGCCAACUAAGUCCGACGUGAAAUCCCUCGGCUUAACCGGGGAACUGCGUCUGAUACUGGUUGGCUUGAAUCCGGGAGAGGGAUGUGGAAUUCCAGGUGUAGCGGUGAAAUGCGUAGAUAUCUGGAGGAACACCGGUGGCGAAGGCGGCUUCCUGGACCGACACUGACGCUGAGGCGCGAAAGCUAGGGGAGCAAACGGG
rnacentral:rRNA from 1 species